GCUCCAACUUUAUUUCUGAGUCCAGGCUCCCUGGUAGUUCCUGAUUCGGGUAGAGAAGUCUCUGUUUUAAUCUCCUCCCUGAGUUCCUAUUGCAACAGCCUGACCAAUCUCUGUUGUCCUGGAAGUCUCUGCUUUUGUACUAAUAAGUCCCUUUCUAACCACCCAAGGUCAAUGGUUCCAACAUAAACUCCAUCAAACUGCCUGGGGCCCUGAUAGCCUGCAGAGAGACCACACUGAUAUCCACUGCUCAUCUGUCUGAACUUCUAAACAUCCUCAUUCCAAUUUACUUUUACCACAUUAUUCUCCCCUCUCUCUCUCUCUCUCUCUCUCUUUCUUUCUCACAGUCUAGCUCUGUUUCCCAGGCUGGAAUACAGUGGCAUGAUCUUGGCUCGCUGCAACCUCCACCUCAUGGGCUCUAGCCAUCCUCCCACCUCAGCCUCCUGAGUAGCUGGGACUACAGGUGCACACCACCAUGCCCAGCUAAUUUUUGUAUUUUUUUUUUUGUAGAGACAGGGUUUCACCAUGUUGCCCAGGCUGGUUUCAAACUGAUGUGCUCAAGCAAUCCACCCUCUUUGGCCUCCCAAAGUGCUGGGAUUAUGGGCAUGAGCCACCAUGCCCAGCCUCAUACAUUUCCUUAAAACAAGCCUAAAUGAUAAGGAAAAGAUCUUUGAUUGGGAAUGAAACUUAAUUAUAGGCAAUAUCUCAGCUUAGAAAAAUGUUAGUGAUGGGUGAUUUUGAAAGACUAGCAGUAAAUAAAAAGGACAGGCUAGAGACAAAGUCUUAAAUUGUAAGAGAAGAGUUGGGUAAAACAGAGCUUAUUGGUCUUGUUCAGAGAUUGAAUAUCAGAACAAGAAACUGAAAGAGCUAGAAAAUCUUCUACAAAAAAUGUGGAAGUGAGAUACCCUUUCCUGUGUGAUUUGUAUAUGCUACUCCCUAGAGACUUAGUACUUUACCAGAUAACCUGCUGAGGUUUCUUGAAGGUCUAGAGUAAAUAAAGGCAAGUCUUAGCUUAGCAUAGAGAUCAGUGAAUUCUUUUGGUAGGUGCCUCUUGUUCCAUCUAUUCAUCAUUUGGAGUUUUAGGACACUUUCCCUCCACAAAAGUACUAAAUGUAUUUUUUACAAAACAAAAAUACUUAAAUGUUAAUGCGAAACCUGGGGUGGAAGGA
rnacentral:lncRNA from 1 species